rnacentral:snRNA from 1 species
UGACCACUCUGGCCUUUUGGCUUAGAUCAAGUGUAGUAUCUGUUCUUAAUAGUUUAACCACUAUUAUGGAGGCACUGCCUCCAUUCUUGGUUCUCUAAUUUUUGUUACCUUCAUUCCUUGUGCUCUGCUUGCAACACAGGGACAUGAUGACCUUGCCGCUGCACUUUUGGCUUGUGUUGUCGGGGGACA